GUCAGAAUCAAUGAUGCUGGAUGGAAAAUAAAAUAACUUGAUCUGGUAAUGUUUAAACAUUUCAUUAAAACAUCUGUAUAGAAGCUUAAAUUUCUAUGGAGUGUUAUCUAUCAAUAUUUUCUCUUAUGCUUUUUGACUUUCAUGCUUAGAAAAUCCAUGACCAUUCUAAAUUUGUUUUACAAGCUUUUAAUUUUACUUAAAGUAUUAAAUGUUAUGUCCUUUGAACUUUAUUUUGUAACAGGUAUUAAGGUAGGCAUCCUAACUUAUCUGCCAACUUCCAAAUGAUUGUUAGGAUUACACAUUUUCCCCAAUUUAAACCAAAUUUCCAUAUGCAUUUGUAUAUUUGGACUUUAUAUUCUACUUCAUUAAUCCAUAUAUGUGGAUUUAAAAAAUAAUCUUCUAUUUCAAUUAAUACAGCAUCACACUUUUUCCUACUAACUGAGGAGGAAAUUCUCAUUCUCCGUGUAUUUGAAGGUUUCCUGAAGCCUGAGCUAGCCGCAGUAUUGCAUUUGGCCUCUAGAGGGGGAUGUUACACAAAUGGAAUUUAAUGGUCAAAAACAACCAGAUCUUUUUGAAGAAGAGCUUUUUGUUUUACACGCUGGGUAAACUAAUCCACCUCUCUGUCAGAGUGUCCAUGUGGCUGAAUUGUUUCCAGAAAAGACCUCCAGAAAAUAGAUUCCAGUUUCUCCACCGCUCAGACAUGAAGCCCACCCUCAUCUCGGUGCUUGUGAUAAUAUUUACACUCAGAGAAACAAGAGCCCAGAGAGUGACUCAACCCGAGAAGACCCUGUCUGUCUUUGAAGGCGCCCCAGUGCAUCUGAAGUGCAACUACUCGUAUUUUGGGAGUCCUGAGCUCUUCUGGUAUGUCCACUACCCCAAACAACGCCUCCAGUUACUCCUGAGACAAAUUUCUAGAGAGAGCGUCAAAGGCUUCACUGCUGGCCUUAACAAAGGCGAGACAUCCUUCCAUCUGGAGAAACCAUUCGCGCAAGAGGAAGACUCAGCCACGUAUUACUGUGUUCUAAGUGGCACAGUAGCUGGUUUUGCAAGGAAGCAGAACACCCUUUAGUUACAGGAGAUAUUUCUUUGUAAACUCUCUGUGUGGCCACAGUGGGGCAUUCUUUCUCCAGAUAUUAACAUUAAUUUUGUCCCCUAGAUAUUAUAUCAUCAGCUGUCAGUUAGCUAUAGGAUUACCUCAUAAUUUUUUCCAAAAAAUUCUCAAUUUCUACCCUGCUUAAAUUAGUUUUCAAAAUAGUAGAUGUAUUUAUUUUGUCUAGUAGUACUGGAAACAUACUUUUGAAAUAAAAACUAUAUUGCAUGGCAUAAAAAGUAUCAUUUUCUUGGUCCAGAGGUCCUGGCCAGGCUUCCAUGGCACAGUCUUACCUCUUCAGCUCCUCUGCUUCCCCACAUGAUCCCUGCAUGUGGUUGUCACCGCAUACCUGAGCACAGUUCCUUAAAGUGCUCUGCUCUUUCACGGCUUGUGAUUGUUCAUCUUUCUGUAUCUAUUACCUUUCUUCCCAUGUGUUUCAUAGAUUGAGAUAGGAGUAUCUCAGUUAGAGUCUACCAGGAAAAAUGAAACCCAGUAAUUUGAACAAUGAAGUUUAAUAUAAAGAUUUAUUAAAUAAUAAUGAGUAAUAACUGCUAAUGGGUAAAAAGAAUAUAGGAACACACAUGUAAGCAGAAGUUCCCGUCUCUAGGACUAAGGUAGAAUCCUAGGAAAGAAAC